UACGUAGGGUGCGAGCGUUAAUCGGAAUUACUGGGCGUAAAGCGUGCGCAGGCGGUCUGUUAAGACCGAUGUGAAAUCCCCGGGCUUAACCCUGGGGACUGCAUUGGUGACUGGCAGGCUUUGAGUGUGGCAGAGGGAGGUAGAAUUCCACGUGUAGCAGUGAAAUGCGUAGAGAUCGGGAGGAACACCAGUGGCGAAGGCGGCUACCGUGGACCAGCACUGACACUGAGGCACGAAAGCGUGGGGAGCAAACAGGAUUGAG
rnacentral:rRNA from 1 species